rnacentral:lncRNA from 1 species
GUUCAGGAGUUUUCUCUGUUGAUUUAACAUAAAAAACGGAGACAAGAUUGAAGUGCAGCCAACACUGCAUGGUGCUUCUCACAAGAGCUGACCCAUUGCUGUUUUUCAACUCUUCUGGAAAAGAUCCCGAAAGAAGAUAACAGCUUGUUUUCUUCACCGCCACCAGUCUACCUGCUCUCUGCACACUCGGCAGAGCGCGGCAGGGCACCCCACGGAGCUGCACUAGUCACAUCCGGGCCCCACGCCGGUCGACGGCCGAUGCGAUGGAGGCACUACUCCGAGCUGGACUGGUGGCCGGCUCGGAGCUGGUGGAUGUCGACCGCGGAGCGGCGAUCUACUCCUUCCACCGGGGCCGGCAGCAGGAGCUCCAGAUGUCCUUGUGCCACCCGUCCGGCCAGGCCUCCAUCCACCUUGUAGAGGCGGAGCGGGAGACGGUGAAGCUCAACGGCUCCGUUGGAACAUGGCCGCUGGGAGGCCUGCGGCGCGGACGACGGAUGCGGCAGUUGGUCAAGACACGGCAGCGUACUCGAGGUGCUUCUCGCCUGGAGGACGCAGGCGAAUCGCGUUAUCCGAGCUGUGCCUCGUCAUGGUGCGAUGAGCCUUAAUAGACUAAUGCAUAUUCUUCCUUUGGCUGUAAUUCAUUUGCUGCUGCCCGCUGGGCUAAGGAGUAACUCUGGGCGCCUACUUUGGGCAGACGCUCGUCCAGUGCCGCUCUUCGUUUGCCGCA